GGAAAAGAGAGAUUCCUAAGUCAAUAUUGAAAAAGAAGACCAGUGUCAGAGGAUAUAUUUACAUGAAUCCAAUAGUUACCAAGAAGCUACGGUAAUCAAGAAUGUUUGAUACAGGCAUGAGUGUCAACAAAUAGAUCAAUAAACCAGCCCACACGUAAAAAAAAAAAAAAAAAUCAUUAGAUUUUUCUGCAAAGGAACCAAUGAGCAAAGUCUUUUCAACACAUGAUGCUUAGAAUUUGGAUUACAGGACAUACAUAUGGAAUAAAAUGAACCUUGACUCCUGCCUUAUACUAUAAAUUAAAAAAUGUGAGAAAUCUGAUAAACCAUUAAACUGUAAAGCCUUUGAAGAAAACAAAGACUUUUUUUCUUGAUUGUGAGUGUAGGAUACAAUAUAUUAGAAUGGGGAGUGAGUAAAUCAGCCAAGAAAGGCGGAUAAUUUUUUACAAAUUAAACAGAAACAAACACUAAAUCCAACAUGUAUACCUGGCUUUGACCCUGAACCAUGAAAAAAAUUACUAUAAAGGAUGGGGGGGCAGUUAACAGUAAUGUAAUUUAUAAGCUAGAUAAUAGUGACAUAUCAAUAACACAUUGUAUCAUUUGUAUAAAUAAUAAAUUUCCUGAUUUUGAUCAUUAAAAUAAAAAAUCUCAGAGAAUCAAUACCAAAAAAAUUUAUAAUGAAUAAAUAUAGCAAUAUCACAGUAUAGGUUAAGAUGCAAAAUUGGUCUUUUUCUUAUAUAUCAGCAAUGAGAAAAAUAGAAUUUGAAAGUUAAAAUAUACUACUUAAUUAUAUUAGCACCAAAAGUUGAAAUACUUAGGUAUAAAUCUAAUAAAAUGUCUACAAGUUCUAUUUGAGGAAAACUAAAAAAUGAUGUAAGGAAUCGACUAAAUAAAGGAAUAGAUAUUUCAUGUUCUUGGAUAGUAACACUGUAUUGUAAAGAAAUCAGUUCUUUCAAACUUUUGGGUAGGUGAGAGGCAGGGUGGAUACUGGGGAAUGAACCCAGAGCACUUAAGAACUAAAUUACAUUCUCAGUCCAUUUUUUAUUAUUUUUAAAUUUUGAAAGUCUCUCGUUAAAUUGCCAAGGCUAGCAUCAAACAUGCAAUCCUCCUCCCUCAGUCUCCCAAGUCUGUGGAAUUAUAGGUGUUCAACACCAUGCCCAGCUUCCAGUCAAAGUUCCUGCAUGUUAUUUUGUGAAUAAUGACAAAUUGAUUAUAAAAUUUUCAUGGAGAAGCAAAAGAUCCAUAAUGGCCAACAUAAUAUUAAAGAAAAACAAUCAGAGGACUGACAAUAUACAACUUCAAAACUUUCCAUAAAGCCAUAGGGAUUAAGAGAGUUUGGUAUUGGUGAAGUGUAGAUAUUCAGUGCAACAGAGAAAGAACCCAGAAAUAGACCCACAAAAAAUAUUGCCAACUGAUCUUUGACCAAAAGUGAACAAAAUUUGAUGGAGAAAGGAUAUUGGUUUUUAAUUUUUUUUAGUUGUAGACACACAAUAAUUUUAAUUUUAUUUAUUUAUUUUUAUGUGGUGCUGAGGAUUGAACCCAGUGCUUCACAGGUGCUAGCUAGUGCUCUUACAACUGAGCUACAACCUUAGCCCCAAGGAUAUUAUUUUUUUAAUGAAUGGUGCCGAUCCAAUGCAAAAACAGAAAAGAAUUUAGACAUGGACCUUUAUCCUUUUACAUAUAUUAACUCAAAAUGUGUAAUAGACCUAAAUGUUAAAGGCAAAACUAUGAAACUCAAGAAUAAAACACAGAAUAAUAUCUAGUUAACUUUAGAAGACUGUUUUAUAUAUAACACCAAAAGUAAGACAGAUGAAAGAAAAAAAUCAGUAAGUUGGGCUUCAUUAAAGAUGAAUCUCUUCUGCAAAAUACUCUGUUAACAAAGAGUGAAACACCAGAGACCAAGAAAAUAGCUAGGAAACAGACAUCUGAUAAAAGACUGGUAUCUAAACAUACAAAAAACUCUUAAAAUACAACAAUUAAAAAAAUGUAAAAAUAGGUAAAUAGUGGGAUUGUGAAUUUUAAUAAAUGUCCAUGCAUGUAUGAGUUUGUCGGGUUGAACCAAUUACCAUGUAUAUUUAUAAAGCUCUAAUUUAAAAAAAAUAAAAAUGGGCAAAUGAUCUGAACAGAUACCUGUCCAAAAAAGAUAUACAAAUGACAAAUGAGCAUAUUUAAUAGAUGUUCAACAUCAUAUGUCAUUAAUGAAAAAUUAAAACAACACUAGAAAUUCAAGUUAAGCUAAAUAGUAAAAGCAGGUCCACAUCCAUGGUGGUUGAAAGGGACCAGAUUACGCAAGCCACAUGGGCAAUGGAUAUGCUGGUGUUGAAGUUCACAAACAUGUGGGAGGCAGAGUAAGGUUGGGGCCAGAGUGUUAGGUAUGAUGAGUCAGCAUAGCUGUCUUUGUGCCACAGCUUAAUGCUUAUGGGCUAUUUGUUUCUGAAAAAUUAGAUUUCAGGGGCAAGUCAGGGUUAUGCAGGUGCUAGUACAGGCACUGGGGAGUGAAACUGGCUGGUGCAAUCUGUUAGUCUGGAAUCUGUUUCAGGGGGAAGAAAUAGUGCUUAGCAAUUGGACAGACAAAAGUCAGCAUCCUGUUUCAAUAUUUGAUUUGUUCUCCGACUUUAUAAAGCUGACAUUUAAUUAUCGAAGCUGCUUUAUGUGUAACACAUAGGUAGAGACUAUAAUGUGGAAGAAAGAAAAAAAUUCAAUUAAGAACAUGUAAACAGCACAUUUAAAGUUGCCUUCCUUUGGUAGGCACAUUCAUUCAUCUCCAGAUAUGGUAUACAGUACUUCUCAGAUAUUUUCUUCAUAUUAUCUAUUGAAGAGCUAAACGUCUGAAAACAAAAGCUGACAUGGAAGUAUAUAGAUUCAUGUUGAAAAUAGGAUUCCUUUUUCAUCUAUGGAAAUAUGAGUAGUUUUCAAAAAAAAUGGGCAUUCCACAAGAUAAACUUCAAGGGUCAUUAUACAACUCUUUCAAGAAAAGGAGAGAAGAGGAUUGGUGGAAUGGAUGGUGAUGGUGAUGAAACAUAAUCCGAAAAUACAUUGACCCAGAGACAGAAAUACAUUAAAAAAAAGGUGACAUAUCCUUUCCUGAUGAUGAAAGUACUUAGUUCCAACUGCUACUAUAACAAACAACAGUCCUACUUUGGUGUCCUCAGGAGUUUGGUUCUAGAACCACUACAGAUAGAAAAUUCUACAGAUGCUAAAAUCCCUUAUUUUAAAAAAUGACAUAAUAUUUGCCUAUAAUUUAUGCACAACCUCCUGUAUAAUUUAAAUUUCAUCUAGAUUAUUUAGAAUACCUAAUACAAUGCAAAUGCUAUGUAAAUGUGUUAAACUAUCUUCUUUGGGGUAUGAUGACAAGAAGAAAAAUGUCACUAUGGGUUCAGUACAGGUGCACUUUUUUCAAACAUUUUCCAUUUGGGUUAGGUUGAAUCCACAGAUGAAGAAACCAUACAUAUAGAGGGGCAACUCUAUUACAACUGUGGUGACUUCAAAUAACACAGAUUUAUUAUCCUACAGUUUUGAUGUUUUGAAAAUACAAAUAAAGUCUCAUUACAAUAAAACCAAGCUGUAGGAAGAGCUGAUUUCCUUCUGCAGUUUCCAGAGAAGAAUGUGCUUCUUCGUCUUUUCCAGCUUCUGGAGAGAGCCUGCAUUCCUAGGCUCCUGGCUGCCUUCCAUGUUGCAAGCCAACAGUGUCCUGUCUAGUCUUUCUCAUGCUACUUGCCUUGGGCACUGACCCUUCUGCCUCCCCCUGCCCCAUGUAAAAAGCCAUUGGACUACUUUUGCCAGGAUAAUCCAGCAUAUUUUAUAAAUUCAACCAGUUACCGAACUUAAUUCUCCUUCCCCAGGUAACAUAAUAUGUUUACAUAUUGUGGAGAAUAAGGUGCAGGCAUCCUUCCGGGGCCAUUAUUCUGUCAAACACGAAAAAGAGGCAUUUCAUACUGCUUUCCAAAUUGGCUGCACCAAUUUGCAGUCCCACCAGCAAUGUACAAGUGUACCCUUUUCCCCACAUCCUCGCCAGCACUUGUUGACUUCAUAAUGGCUGCCAAUCUAACUGGAGUGAGAUGGUAACUUAGGGUGGUUUUGAUUUGCAUUUCUCUGACUGCUAGAGAUGGUGAGC
rnacentral:lncRNA from 1 species